rnacentral:sRNA from 1 species
UACUAGAUGCACCCUGAUAAUUCUAACCCCAGCCUAAAAACUGGGGUUUUUUCGU